rnacentral:rRNA from 1 species
CCUACGGGUAGCUGCAGUGAGGAAUAUUGGUCAAUGGCCGCAGGGCUGAACCAGCCAAGUCGCGUGAGGGAUGACGGUCCUAUGGAUUGUAAACCUCUUUUGUCAGGGAGCAAAGGGCGCCACGUGUGGCGCUUUGCGAGUACCUGAAGAAAAAGCAUCGGCUAACUCCGUGCCAGCAGCCGCGGUAAUACGGAGGAUGCGAGCGUUAUCCGGAUUUAUUGGGUUUAAAGGGUGCGCAGGCGGAAUGUCAAGUCAGCGGUAAAAUUUCGGGGCUCAACCCCGUCGUGCCGUUGAAACUGGCGUUCUUGAGUGAGCGAGAAGUAUGCGGAAUGCGUGGUGUAGCGGUGAAAUGCAUAGAGAUCACGCAGAACUCCGAUUGCGAAGGCAGCAUACCGGCGCUCAACUGACGCUCAUGCACGAAAGCGUGGGUAUCGAACAGGAUUAGAUACCCCAGUAGUC